rnacentral:rRNA from 1 species
GACGAACGCUGGCGGCGUGCCUAAUACAUGCAAGUCGAACGAGAGCGACCGGUGCUUGCACUGGUCAACCUAGUGGCGAACGGGUGAGUAACACGUGGGUAACCUGCCCAUCAGAGGGGGAUAACAUCCGGAAACGGAUGCUAAAACCGCAUAGGUCUUCGAGCCGCAUGGCUUGAAGAGGAAAAGAGGCGCAAGCUUCUGCUGAUGGAUGGACCCGCGGUGCAUUAGCUAGUUGGUGAGGUAACGGCUCACCAAGGCCGUGAUGCAUAGCCGACCUGAGAGGGUGAUCGGCCACAUUGGGACUGAGACACGGCCCAAACUCCUACGGGAGGCAGCAGUAGGGAAUCUUCCGCAAUGGACGCAAGUCUGACGGAGCAACGCCGCGUGAGUGAAGAAGGUUUUCGGAUCGUAAAACUCUGUUGUUAGAGAAGAACAAGUGCUAGAGUAACUGUUAGCGCCUUGACGGUAUCUAACCAGAAAGCCACGGCUAACUACGUG